CUUGAACCCGCCACUGCCCACACACGGGCACGGGAGUGGCUCUUUCGUUCCCAGGCCUGGGGUUGCCAAAGGCGUGCAAACCCCGCUUGGAUUCCUGCAGCGGGGAUGAAUCGGUUCUAAGGGCAAAGUGAUAUCCCAAGAUCUCAGAGACGUUUAUCAAGACUUAGAAGAAAGCAAAAAGCCAGAAAAUCGUAACUGCUAACUCAGUUCAGGGGGUUGAAGGAGUAUUUUGUGGAGGAGCCAUUGUGGUGGAGUGCUGCCACAAGAACCUCCUUAAACCCUGCCUGGCCUGAGGAGUGUCAAGUCAGGGCCUUACUUUUCCUACCACCACCACCUCUGAAGACUGGCAGCCAUGGGGGAAAAGUCCCACACUUGCCCUUACUGUGGGAAAGGUUUCCGGCGCAACUCACACCUUACACGGCAUUUAGCUAUCCACUCUGGGCUGCAGCGCCCUUUAGGUGGGAAGCGCCUAGGACAGCAGAUGCCGGAGGAAGACCGCCCCUUCAGCUGCAGCUACUGCGGGAAGACUUUUGCCCGCAGUGCCCACCUGGCUCGGCAUCAGGAGACCCAUUCGGGGGAGCGACCCUACAAGUGCACCUACUGUGGUAAAGCCUUUGGGCGCAAUUCGCACCUGACCCGUCACCACAGCACCCACACUGGAGAGCGCCCCUAUGAAUGCGGGGUCUGCGGCAAAGCUUUCACCCGCAGUGCUCAUGUCACUCGCCACCAAGGAACUCACACCGGGGAGCGGCCUUUCCGCUGCACACGCUGCGGCAAGUGCUUCACCCGCAGUGCACAUCUCCAGCGCCACCAGGGCAUCCACAGUGGGGACAAGCCCUUCUCAUGCAGAGACUGUGGAAAGGGGUUCACCCGUUACGCGCACCUUGAGCGUCACCGUGCUACACAUUCGGGGGAGAAACCCUUCAAAUGUGCCAGCUGUGGGAAAGGGUUUGGGGCUGCCUCUCACCUUGUAAGACACCAGAAAACCCAUAAAGUUUAACAGGCUGGGAUUGAGCCUGCUACCAUCCAAACAAAUAUGAGAAACUGCCAGUAUGGAGUACCUGGACUUAUCCUUUGUCUUUAUAUCUCUUUUCUCCAUUCUAAAAUGCCAUUCUAAAAUCUAAUUUUAGAGGGUACUGAGUAUAACCCCUUCAACAAUAUUUAUACCUGGUCUGCAGAGAGUUGAGGUGAUGUGACCUGCUGCUUCAGUUCAGCAGCAGAUACAGCAAAGACAAUUUUAGAUGGCAAAACAGCAAACUAUUCUAAUUUUUUUCCUAGAUGGGAAAAGGAAAUCUCAGAGCUGCCCGUCACUCAUGGUUUUGUGUGUGCUUUUACCCAGUAUCAUAAAUAAAGGCUACAUUUUAACUCCACCUUUUGUGGUAAGAAAGAUGCCAGGCUUAUCAAUAGAAAUGUGUAAGAAAUGCACUUAUGACUCUGUGGGAGAUCUUUCAAAAUCCCUUGCUUGUCCUCCAGCAUCAUCUGCAUUGUGAAGUUAUGAUGUCAACAUAACAAGCUGCACCAACAGAAGCAUCUUUUUGGCAAUUCCCUUGGGAUCUACUUGGAGAAAUUCUUUCAUCAGCUUUAGAUUUUGAACCCUGUGGCCUAAUCAUAUUGCAGUUAUAACUACGUGCUGUGCCCACCCAAGAGAAUAGCACUGGAAUAUGGGGUUAUUGUGCCUGGGUCUUCCGCUCCUCAGUAGCCUGUAGCAGCAGCAGCAGAUCUUGUUGUGUCUGAAGUCAGCUCUUGGGACUUGUCUGUCUCUUCCAUGCUCCUCAAGACUUUGAGGCUUGCUUUACAAUUAUCUAACUAUAAGUGGAGCCUGCAACACCACGUUGCAGUGUAGAGUAUACCCAGACCAUCCAGCCAUACCGUCUUUCGGAGAUACCCCAUUUCCCCUUCCUUAAUUUGAGCUGUUCCCUUUAAUAGCAUUUUGGGGCUCCUUUGCAUGCUCUGCCAUUGAUCUUUUUAAUUUUAUUUUUUGGAGGGGAGGAAGUUACUCCCUUUGGAUUUUAUUUCUAAUUACUUUUCUCUGUUUUUUGCAAAUUUUGGUAUUUCCACAGCAUGCUGAUAAUCUUCCGCUGAUGUCUCAGUAGUCCCAUUUGGGUUGCGUAGCCGUCACGAAUGUGCAUGAGUUUGCUGGCAAUAUUGAUAGUUAUUUCUCUUCCUUAUUGUGCGGUAGAAUUUUUAUGGAAGAACUAAGGAACAGAUCAAGACUUUAUCCAAGUCACUUGCAAUGUGAAACUGUGCAGAUAUUUCAAGCCAUUUCCUCUGGAGUAUAUGAGUUCUUAUAUCUUACCUGCUGUCCUGCAUCUCCCAAUCCUCCAGCUUUAGUGAAUCUGAGCUUUUUUAUAUAUAUAAAUAAUAAUAGCUAGCACAGUUACACUGGUAAAUUUCACUGCCUAACAGUAGUGUGUUCUAAAUAUAGGUAAACAAAUUAGAUGCAAAUUCAACAAAUCAAAUUGUUGAAAAAGCUAUUUUAAUUUUUUUUUUUAUGUGAACUUGUUCACAUUUUUUUAAAUGGAGAAGGGGAGAUUUUAAGUGAUACUGUCUGCUGUCUCAGCAAAAAAGGAACUGUCAAAGAAAUGUAUGGGGACAGCUGGAAACUUUUUAGCAGAAAUUUAGAGUAUAACUUUGGAUAUCCGGCUGUCCUGAAAUGCAUCAGAAGAGUAGCAGAAGCUUUUUGGCUGGAAUUCCAGGUAGACUAUCUUUGCCCAGACUUUUCCUGCUUUGCCUCCUUCUGGGGGAACUUGCUGAGAUAACUUAUCACAGCAGCUUAUUGUCUGUUGCUCUUGUGAUUCUCAUCUGCCUCCUGAUCUGCGGUUAUUUGAGGGUCUGGGACUCCCAGACUGUUUAAAAGCUCUGAUCAUGCAAGAACAUGAUGGUUUUCUCGCAUCAAGGACAGCUACAGGGUACUCGCCAUGCCAGUGAUUGAGUUAGAUACGGCAUUUGGACUUGGAAACAGCAAUAGGCAGCUUGGCUCCGUUGUAUGGACUGGUUUUAACUUGGGCUAUUUGGAACCAGAGAAACUCAGCAGUAAGACUGCAGUUGUGCAGCAAAGCUGUCAUACAAGAUUUUCAAAAAGACAUCUUAAAAAAAAAGAAACCAACAAGUAAUAGAUGGGAAUAACCAGAACUAAGGACUAACUGCAUCUUGCAAUACACAAAUGAUUUUACUUGAUUGCCCAAUAAGCAGGUUUUUUUAGCCUAAGUAAAUUCUAUCUGAAGGAGCCUCAUAUGAAGGCACUUCAUAUGGCCAGCUACUCUUUCUGAAUUCAUUCUAGUUACCAGAUGGAGGUACCAUUUCCUGUAUAUUCCAGUACUACUUUGAUGAUCAUCUUGGUCCAGCAUUAAACAAAAAAAUCACAUGUCUUUGAAAAGAAUAUCAAGAAUUAUCUCUCUGAAUGCCAUUCCUCUAUGCUCUUGAAUAAUCUCAUAUUUUCAACUUCAAUUUUUUGUGUACACUGCCUGAAAUACACCAGAUCUUUAUACCAGAAUAUAAAGAGCAAGUGGCAAUAAGAGUUUUCUUUGCUUUCUAUGAAUUGAAAGCUGCAUUAAGCUGGACGUGUGUUUUUCCUUUCUCUCAAGUUGAUAGAAUGCUGUAGAAAUGCUGAACCCACAAACUCCAUUUGCACAGUAUUCUGUGCUGUAAAAAUGUGUGAUUGUUGGCUGAUUUUUAGCAUUCCCAGGAGAAUGCAAGUUGCCGAACUGUUCUUGAGAUAUCCUCCCUUAGCCUAAAUGGCCAUGGCAGCCUCAGGGAGUUCAUUCUCUGGGUUCAGAUUUUGUCUUUUUGAGUGGGAAUACCAACUUUAGUCUAAGACAUGGAAGGAUUUUCUCUUGCAUUUGGGGGAUCAGUUUCUUCUGCUAAAGUUGAGGCUGGUCAGUUUGAAGAGUACAAGUCAAGAAUUUCCAGUCUUGCUCCAGUAAAUGUCAACCAUAAAUUUUUCCAACUGGGAUUGAAAUUAUUUUUUGUUUGUUAUAGCUCCUAGUUAAGCUACUGUAAUAUGCCUGGAUUCACAUAUUGCAGUAAGUCAUUAUAGCUCUUCUGUUUAUUCGGGGGGGAUAAACAUGUUGCAUGAACCCAACCAUUGUGAUUUGUAAAGUAUGUGCAAAUCUGUUCAGGUAUUGUUCAGUAAACCAUGGUUAAACAAACCAUGGCUUAGUGCAGUCUGUGAGGCCAGCCAUUGUCUCCUGCAGAACAUUGGGGAGCUUUUGAGUGGAGUUUAAAGUUACUACACAUAUUCAACCUCUGAUCAUAGAGAGAUGACCCAGACUUUUUAUCCUCUCGUUCCCUCUAUUCUAGAUAAGCAUAGAAGGGUCCAAACCCAAGAUCCAACUGUGUCCACUUUAUGCUUUAGGACCAUGAAUCAGUAGGGCAACUUUGUGACAACUGUCUCAAAUCCUGUGGCUUUCAGUGGGGCUAAAAUCCUCUUCCCAAAGCAGAUACUCUUCAGACAUGUUGGAUUGCACUCCUGUAAUCCUCCAGCCUGCAAAGACUGUAUAGGCUAGAGGUUCCAACACAUCUGGAGGGAUAGCUGAACCAGAAAAACUUUUAAUAGUUUGGUUACUACUACUAUUCCAUUAAAUCCUUUUCCUGAUAACUCCUAGAGAGAUGUCCCCCAAAUUAUGGAUGUCUAUAUAUGUACCAUUUUAAAUGGCAGCUUUAGCAGUAAAAGAUGUCUGCUAAAAACAGUUGUUAAUACUGUAGUCAGCACAUUGAUGGCACAGAAGAAAAACACAGGUAGUCCUCACUUAACGACUGCAGUUGGGACUGGCAACUCCAUUGCAAACGCCCACCAGUUGUGAAGCGCCUGAAUCUCGAUCACCUGACCGUGGGGGCACUGCAGCAGUUUUAAGUGCGAGAACUGGUCAAAAAGUUACUUUUUCAGUGCCAUCGUAACUUUGAACAGUAGCUAAAUAGGGCAGUUGUUAAGCGAGGACUACUUGUACUGUGAUCCUGUUCCUGACCAUAAGUGAAAAUGCACCUAUAAAGAAGGAAAUCAAUGCUGUGCUCAUCUCUUUGAAGGCAGAAAGCAGCCACGUCAGAGAGUGAAAGCGCCCCAUGGCAUAAAUGAUUUUCUAAAAAGAAGCAGCCUGUUCAUUCCCUAGUUUGAUCUAAAAGGUACAUUAUCAGUUUCAGGAAGGAUCUGAUGAAUCUUUCUUACUGUACAAUUCAGUUGUGUAAUCCCAAAGGGAGAAAGAAAUGGGAGUGUUCGGAUUUGGCUGGCAUUGUGGAAAUGUUCAAAAGAAAGAAAGAAGACAUUAUUGAUCUGGUGCUUUAUUAAUCUGUCUCUUUUAAACAUUUUUCAUGUAUAUACUGUGUUUUUGCUGUUCACAAUAGUACAAAUGCCAGAUCUUGGAGAAACAGAAAAUAGUAUUACUCCAGAUAAUAGGGGUACAAUCCAGAGAAAACAAUCAGCCAAGGGCCAGCUGAUACCAAUGGCAAUUAAAAAUACAGAUUAGGGGGCUGGAGGGGAGAAACCACAGAAAGGAAUGGGUUGAGUUGGUCAUUUGAUUAUUUUUUCCCCCAAGAUAAAAAUAGAAAAUGAUUGAGGAAUUUGGGUGGGAAAACAGGGUUAUAAAAUAUUUUCUCUUUUGAAAUGAGUGAAAUAGAGAAUUUAUUCAGAGUGUGUAGUAUGAAUAUUUUUAUGUAAAAAAUGCACAAAAUUGGAGGGUGAUCAUUGCUAUGUAUAUAAUAGACCAGGAUAGGCAAACCAAUACCAGUGCCAGGUUGGCAGGGGCUGAUGGGAAUUGGUAGCCAAAACAUCUGGAGAACUGUUGUUAUCCAAAGGCAUUUCUGUACUUCGAGUGCUGCCAUCUUUUUGGUUGAAUUCAAGCUAUGAAUUGUGGUGAAUUGUUUGGUGGUAUGCAGUGGUUUUGAUUUGGAAAUAAUCAGAAACAAGUAUUCUGCAUACUGAAUUAUAACCCCAUUUCCUGGAUGUGUAUGAUAUGUUGAACCAUAAAAUAACCCAAUAGGCUGGGUUCACACAACACAUUUUUUUAAAAAAUAAUCCAAUUGACCUGGUUUAGCAUGUUGCAUUAAUGCAGCUCUCAGGCUUAUCUAGUCAGUGACUUUGUUCAUAUAAAAUACAUAGAAGUUAAAUUGCAAAUCAAAAGUGACAUUUUAAAAAAGGCUCUAUAUAGAUUUUUUUUUCAUAAUGUGUGACAGUGUUGUAAGAUUUUCAUUUUUAGGGAUAUUCUAUAGGUCAAGCUCCUGGCCUCCUGCAGUGCAGAACUGCCCCAUGGCUCCUUUUUAAUUUGGUUGUCCUUUAUAAAGUAACCCGGAGCAGAGUGAUAGAUGGCAGCAUUGCAACCGAAACUCUCCCCAUGACCCGGGUACGAUCCCAGCGGAAGCUGGAUUCUUGGGUAGCCAGCUCAGGUCGACUCAGCCCUCUAUCCUUCCGAGGUCGGUAAAAUGAGUACCCAGCUUGCUGGGGAAGGUAUGACUGGGGAAGGCAAUGGCAAACCACCCCGCUACAGUCUGCCAAGAAAACGUUGUGAAAGAGGCGUACCCCCAAAGGGUCAGACAUGACUUGGUGCUUGCACAGGGGACCCUUCACCUUUUUUUUCCGGCCAUCCUCAAAUUUGGGACAGGUUUUUUUCCCCUCAGUUUUUGUUACAUUUUAGUAUUUAGUGUACUAACAAGUUUCUUUAAAAGAAAUAUGUAUGUAUCUGGCGAUAGUAAUGCUAGUCCCUUCCCCAUGUUCUUCUUUUCUUUUUAAAUUGUUAAAGGAUGUACACAAUCUUCCUAGAAAACACAUAUUUAUUAUAGACUUUUUAAAAAGGAGAAAACGGUGCAAGGCAAUAUGUACCUGUGCAGCUCCCUCCCAGGUCUGUUAAGCAUUUUAUUCCAUGUGUGUCUCAUAGAAGCAGGCAAAGUCAUGUGAGGAAUCCUGGCAUCAUAGAGAAAGCCUCUGCAGGCAUUGGGACAAACUUGUUCUGAAGAAGGCCAUUUGGGACACACCUCGUCCUUAUGAAUCACUGUUUCUUAUUUUGUGGAUAUUAUUGCCUAUAAGCAACAUCGCAGUCCUUCAUCUCCCCAUUUCAGAGUGUUUCUUAUGAUAAAUCUUUUUAGCUCUGCAUCUCAUUUUAAAAAAUGCAGCAUUUUGGGGGGCAAAUUCAAGGCUGUUUUUUCUUAAGACAUGAACGUUCAUAGACUUGAUCUAUUGUCUCAUUAAAGCUUCUGCCAUAAUAUUGCAUAAAGGUUUAAAAUGCCACAAGUCUUUUGGUGGUUUUGGUUCUAAUGCUAAUUUGGCUAUCCCUUUGGAAGUUAUCCUUCUGUAGUCCUUUAUACACAGGACCUCAACUAAUUGGUCCCAUGCCUGCCUGCUUUUUCUUAGACCUUUCCACUGAAAUAUGGUAACUUCCAUGUGAACAUUCUAUAGGUUCUUGAGAACUUCAGUUAUACCAUAACUCUGAUAUUUAAGGUGCAAGUAGUUCCAAAUGCGGGACGUGACAUCUAAAAAAGUUCUCUGAUAACAGAUGAUGGGCAGGAAUCUCUGCUUACAUUAUUGGAAACCCAGUGUGAUUGGGGACCUCAAGUUAUUUGAGACCCAAUGAAUGAAUGGUCUGAUUAACAAACUGCAUUUCAUUAAUGCUUUCCAAAUACUUGGAAUUUGAUUUGUUUUUGGCUUAAUGUAUUUUGGCUUAAUUAACUGUGCUUUGCAACUUGUGGUUUAUUGCUGAGUGUUAUAUAUGUACCCAGCCAUUUUGGCUUAUUCAGCUUACCAUGAUUAAAAGAAACCAUAGACUUGCAUGACUGUACCUACCACUCCAGUCAAGUCACUUUACUGUUGGAGCUUUAAAGUAUUACAUAUACCAUAUUCAGCUUUCUCCAUCCUGGUGCCUUCUUGGUAUAUUGGAAUAUAAUUCCCACUAUCCCGAACCAGCAUAGUUAUCAGCCAUUUUGCUUGAAGGGGGUGAAAACAAUUUAGAGCAGGGUUUCUCAAACACCAUUCUGGGAGAGGUCACUAGGGGUUUCCUGGGAGAUCACAAUGUAUUUAAAAAAUUAUUUCAAAUUCGGGCAACUUCACAUUAAAGAGGCAAAUAUCAUUCUUUAUUUUUAGUUCAAGAACACUGUUAAUGCAUAUAUACAGGCCUACACAUGAAACAAAUAUAAUAAUUUUGUAACUUCUGGCCUAUAUUUGAGCCUGAAUGUGCAGGGCUUCCCCGAGUCCUGAAAAAUAUUUCAAGGGUUCCUCCAGGGUCAAAAAGUUGAGAAAGGCUGGUUUAGACACCGAGAGUUUUGAUCCUUGGCAACUUUAAGGUGUGUGGCCUUCAACUCCCAGAAUUCCCCAGCCAGCCAUGCUGGCCAUGUAACUGCUUAUUUGCUAGUUACUGGGCAUCUUUGCUGCAGUGAACAGUUUUAUUCUGUGGGAAAACAUAAGCCCUUGCACUGCAGGAGAAGCAGUCACAAGACAAACACUAAAAGAGAGACACAGCUAAUCCCUUCUGCAGCUUGUGAAAAUCUGCACAGAGCUGCAUUUAAGGCUUGCUCUAUGGAUGCAAUAGAGUAUGGUCAUGGAAUGGACUAUGGUGAUUCAGACUCUGGGUAGUACAAUCCAGUUGUCAAUAUUCCAUAUUAAAAAAGUUCACGCACAUAUGCAAACCUUUAUGCAUUUUAAAAAAGCCCAGCAGGAAAGAACUGUUAUCCCACCUCUUCCAGAUAUUUUUUCUAUUUGUAUGUACUUUUGAAAUGGCAAAUACCCAUCUGCAUUUUCUGUCCAUUCUGCCCUCUCCCCAACCAAGCCAGCUGGGUGACCUUGGGCAGUCACUCUCUCUUAGCCCAACUCACCUCACAGGGUGGUGGUUGUGGGGAAAAUAGGAGGAGGAGGAAGGAGUAUUAGGUAUGUUCCCCGCCUUGAGUUAUAUAUAAAAAUAAUAAAGGUGGGAUAAAAAUUAAAAAAUAAAAUAAAUAAAAUUUCCAUAUUCUGCUUUAGGUAUAAACCAGAUUUCAUUCUGCAGGUAUUUAACAGAUACUCUGUUGUCUUUAGCCGACAUUUAUCAAUUCUUUCACUUUACUGAUUCAUUUCCCAUAGUAGUUAUUCUCUUGAACUCAUAUUAUUCCGUGAGGACUAUAUUACAGGAAAAAGUGAAGUCAUGGGGCAAAAACCAUUUUGGCACAUUUUAGGCUUGGGAGAGCAUCUUGGGCUGGGAAGAGAAGUUUUGUUCAUAACAUAUGGUUUGACUGCUGUGAACGCACCCAAUUAUGGUACGAGUAAUCCGUUGUUAAUAAACAGUGUUUCUCAUGAUUGAUCCCAUCCUAAAUAUAAUUUCUCUCAAACCUGAUUAAAUUUUGAUGGUAUUGGUUUUCAAGAAAGCAUGUUUUAAGACUCUGGCUUUCUUUCAGCUGCCAGUUUAUAAUUUCAUUAUAGCUUUUGGUGUUGUCUGGCAAAUGGGGGUUGGUUGGGUUUUUUUUCUAAGGAAGAGUCAUGGAAAAUGUGUUUCAUUUCACAUAAGGUUUCAGCAAUGGGGACAGAUCAUUUUUGGGGGACAGUUUUUCCCCCUCUUCAAGAUGGAGCCAACUUGGGACUAAGUUCACUAGGCCAGACUUCCCCAAGCUGGUACCAGUUCAGUUAGAGGCUUGCCAGCACCAAGCUGGGAAAGGCCACAUGAAGGCACUCUCUCUGGCUCUCUUCAACACCAUAAAUUCAUUUUUGGCUUUCUAGGGUUUGAGGGGGAGGCUGGAGGGUAACUGAUUUGUUUUUGCUUGUAUAUUGCUUUGAGGUGGAAUUAGGCUGGGAUUUAUUUGGCAGAUUGUUUGGACUGUUCGUAUUUUCUCUUAUUUGUAAUAAUGCCAAUGGAUAUGAUUUAACAACAAUUGUAAAUGGUGUUACAAUAUAGCAAAACUUAUGUCCGGGUUCCCCAACACCUUAGUUUUCCUGGUAUUACUCUUGGUAUCUUUCUCUGUUUUCCUAUUAUACUAACAGUGUCUGUCUUUUCUCUGUAUGAAAUAAACACUUUUUGAGAGAGGU